CUUUCUGUAAGUCAGGCUCUUCUGUUUUGCAGCUAUAGUGAGGGGUAAAGGAGAAGGAUAGGAAAAAAACCCUCAAAAAAUAAUAUAUAUGAAAGAGUAAUUUUUCUUACACUUGUUGGUUAUAUGAGGUAACAUAACAUUUACCCUUCUAUGUUGCUGCCAUAAUUAAAGCUGAAUUCCGUAAACACCAUAAAAUUCAGUUUAUACUAUCAUAUACAUAUGCCUGAAUAUUGCUUAUAAAAGCUUCAAAAUUUCACUGGUUUUGUUUAUACACAAGUGAAAAAUGUGCUUUCCAUGAUCUGCAAAUAUUUUUAUUUUGAAAAAACAGUUCUCCAGAUAAGCUCAUUAAAAAUGGAAUUAAAUAAUCAAAUUAAGAAAUCUGUGGAAGGCUGGUCUCAGGGACAUGUUGCCACUGAUGUUACAGAAGGUAAGUUUGUUCUUGCAGGCCAAAAUGAUUUCUGAAGUGCUGCAGAAACAUUUCUUCUUUGUUAAGGUUCAGUUACAGCGAAGUUGCACUACUUUUUUUUUUCUUAUAUAUAUAUAUUCUUAAGGAAUAGAAAUAAGAUGAAGUGACAUUCCACAUCUAUCAUUUUGUCUCUGUUUGUUGUCCCGUCCUUUGCUGAAACGACAGCACAAGUCAAUAUGAAAUGCAGAGGUUUUAUUUUUUUUCUUCAAGCUGUUCCUUCAAAUGAUCAUUUGUAUCUGCCUGCUUUUCACCUAAAAGGCAUAGGAGUGAAGGAUUCCACCAAGAAGUGGUUUGACAAUAUAUGAAAUAGAAGAAAUGAGAGAAAAUAGAGAACUUACCAGUUUUGAGACAGAGUACUUGAAACUACUGUUCUAGUGCCUGUUUGGAUCCCUUGUGCUGCCUCUUAGUUGCCAUAACUGUGCGAGUUCUGAGGGUCAUGAGUAAAUGACAUCCCUGGAGAUGAGGAGAUGUGACUUCCUCUUUUAAGUUGAGGGAGGAGCAGUUGCAGCUAUUUUUGGCUACAGUCUAGUGGGCUUUCAUGAAUUACUCAGCAGUUUCUUGAAUCCAGUGGUAUCUGAAAACUGUAACAAAACAGAUCUGAAUAUGGACUAAAGAAAAAAGUUUCUACCUGCAAAUCACUGCAAACGAAGGUUUUUCUCUUUCUUGCUGUUUGUGUUAGUUUUGGGUUGGUUUUCUUGGGCUUGUUGGGGUUAUUUUUGCUUUUUACCUGUGGAAAUUUCCACUUUUUUUAACAGUGAUUACUUUUCUGACCUUUAUGAUCAGCUGAUGUUGAAGAGGACAUGUGGACACAAUGUAACAAUUUAUUUCUGUAAAACAGCUGGUAGCAUAUGAUGUGUACUGAUUUUGUUGCUUUUAAAUGAUUAAGCAAAUGUAAGGUUUAUUCCGUGUUGGUGUAUGCUGCAUACAUUUGAAGGAAUCCUUUAUAAACACUC
rnacentral:lncRNA from 1 species